rnacentral:sRNA from 1 species
GCAUAGCCCCGAUUAUAGUGGCAUCCUUUUUACUGAAACUGAGGUUCUCGAAGUUACCGUAAAAAGAUAUAGCGAAAAGCGGGAAAUUGC